UACGUAGGAUGCAAGCGUUGUCCGGAAUUACUGGGCGUAAAGGGCGCGCAGGCGGCCCUACAAGUCUGAUGUAAAAUCUCCCGGCUUAACUGGGAGGGGCCAUUGGAAACUGUAGAGCUGGAGUGCAGGAGAGGCUAACGGAAUUCCCGGUGUAGUGGUGAAAUGCGUAGAUAUCGGGAGGAACACCUGUGGCGAAAGCGGCGCACUGGACCACAACUGACGCUGAGGCGCGAAAGCUAGGGGAGCAAACAGG
rnacentral:rRNA from 1 species